rnacentral:rRNA from 1 species
ACUCCUACGGGAGGCAGCAGUAGGGAAUCUUCCACAAUGGGCGCAGGCCUGAUGGAGCAACACCGCGUGAGUGAAGAAGGGUUUCGGCUCGUAAAGCUCUGUUGUUGAAGAAGAACACGUAUGAGAGUAACUGUUCAUACGUUGACGGUAUUUAACCAGAAAGUCACGGCUAACUACGUGCCAGCAGCCGCGGUAAUACGUAGGUGGCAAGCGUUAUCCGGAUUUAUUGGGCGUAAAGAGAGUGCAGGCGGUUUUCUAAGUCUGAUGUGAAAGCCUUCGGCUUAACCGGAGAAGUGCAUCGGAAACUGGAUAACUUGAGUGCAGAAGAGGGUAGUGGAACUCCAUGUGUAGCGGUGGAAUGCGUAGAUAUAUGGAAGAACACCAGUGGCGAAGGCGGCUACCUGGUCUGCAACUGACGCUGAGACUCGAAAGCAUGGGUAGCGAACAGGAUUAGAUACCCUGGUAGGAUAGCG